rnacentral:tRNA from 2 species
UUGGGACGUCGACAAGUGGUAAGUCAACUGGUUUUGGUCCAGUCAUUCGAGGGUUCGAAUCCUUCCGUCCCAGUAUU